CAAUAGCGUAUAUUAAAGUUGUUGCGGUUAAAAAGCUCGUAGUUGGAGUUCUGCCAGGUGACACUCGUCCGCCCAAGUGGUGUGUACAGGGUGUGCAUCUGGCCCUUUCAAGGGGAACGUGUCUGCACUUCAUUGUGUGGUGCGAGAUCCUUGACUUUUACUUUGAGGAAAUAAGAGUGUUCCAAGCAGGCUCUCGUCGUGCAUAGCUCAGCAUGGAAUAAUAGCAUUGGACUUCGUUUCUACGCUGUUGGUUGCAAGAAGCGAGGUAAUGAUGAAGAGGGAUAGUUGGGGGCAUUCGUAUUUAACUGUCAGAGGUGAAAUUCUUGGAUUUGUUAAAGGCGGACUACUGCGAAAGCAUCUGCCAGGGAUGUUUUCAUUGA
rnacentral:rRNA from 1 species